CAUACUACACCGGCCGGUAAAAUUUAGGACAAAGAUAAGAACUUCAGAAUCAAAACACACACCAUUAGAUACCCCUUCUUUUUCUUUCCAUCAAAAACUGCAAAUAGUGGAGUUAUGUUGUGUACCCCUUUAUGGACACUAUGUUAACUUUACAUUAUAACAACACAGCGGUAAAUACAGACUUAUUGUUCUACUUUUCCCUUGC
rnacentral:lncRNA from 1 species